GUGUGAAUUUCGUUCAAAGCGAAAUGGAUUUUGCUGCAGUGGCAAGUGAAACAGUCAAAUUUACAGAAAUGUAUAUCAUGGAAGCGAAAAAGGCUUGAGAUAAUUAACAAAAUAGAAGCUAAAAGGGCGAGCAGCGCCACCAGAGAACCAAACGUAAACACACUACGUUGGUCGGUAUUAAGGGCUAGGAUGAUGUUGGGGACGAAGUGAUUCCAUCGCCAACAGUGUCGGCUUUUUAACGAAAACUGAAAACUUGAGUAGUUCGUGUCACUUCUCUGAAUAGAAGUGUAGUGGAUAUCCUGGGAAAAGCUUAAAGAUAUCGCUUUGGUGUCAAUCCGUCAGGAACACAAUUUCUGCAGCUCCUGAGGAGACGUUAUGUUCGAUUAACAUGUGCUCCAGGUUGGUUCAACUCUCCUAACAAAUGUCUGUAUGAUAUUAUCACUACCACUGCUGGCAGCACAUAAUUAUGUGACAUUGUACUGGGUACACUUCAUGGUUGGAUCAUGGCUGUAAUUUAUGGUACAGGUGUCUAAAGGGGGAGGUGUUUAAUGCUUUCGUCAAGGUGAUUCCAAACUUUUACAGCUGCGAAGCGAAUGUUGAAUUUACCAUAGUUCAAUUCCAUUAAUUUGUUGACUAAAGCAAGAAAACUGGCUUGGGACAAAAUGUUACCAUUCAAGGGUAAACAAUAUAGUGUACAUAUUGUGUCAAAAGAGGUGAGCAGUCUGGAUCAGUGUAGGAAGUUGAGUGAUAAAGCUGCUACAUGAAAUACAUGUACCUAUAUCAGUCUCUUGGUCAGCUGGCAGUUCAUAUACUUUCUCCCAUGUGAGCAAUACAGAUCGCUGUCUUAGUAAAGAAGAGAGAAUACACCUUUUUUUCUAAUCAUAGUAACAACCAGGGGGAAAAUUUGUGAAUUUCAUUUAGGAUGUUGUGCAUGCAUUCUUCCAAUCUUAUUGCCUGGUAAGAAAAUGUUGGGUUUUUUUCCCAACUAGAAAAUUAAUUGUUGUUAACAUCAUCAAAAUGACAGCAACCUAUCUUUUAAACCAUUCAAUUUCAAAGUUUUCAUUGACUUGUGUUGCUGAGAGCUACUUGUAACUUUAGCCAAGGUAAAUGAACUAGCUUAUUUCAUGACUGAAUAUUAGACUCAUGUUCAAUUUUGUUGAAUUGUGUGUAUAGCUGAGUGCUUAGGAUGCAUCUUGCCUCUAAGCCAACCAAACCACACCACUUAUUGUUACAUUAUUUUUGCAGUUUUUUGCCUGAAUUUUCCUUCCAGCAACAGGAGAAAUUACUAGUAACUCUAAAGUAAAUCCAAUCAUACAUGAUUCAGAGGACAAUUUUGAUAUUACAUAAUAAUAUUACUAAAAGACAGAAAGCUUUUUGUUUUGUGAAAAUGACUGCAUUCCAUUCAUUUUUUUUUCUGACAGUGAAUGUUCUUUAUUCCUGUCCUGAAGUCAUUUUAUAAAAUGGAGUACAGUUUACAGCUUGUGAUUUAAUGAUAAGCUGUCCAAGACUGGGGUAAAAAAUUAAUGUUGCUCACAAGUGAUAUUCAACUUUCAUUCAUACCAGCUUAAUGGCUUCUUUGUAAUUCCACUUGAAAUAAGAAGGUGGCAAAUGCAAUUAAUUGUUGAAAUACGAAACACAGUGGCUGUCUUUAGUCAAUGGAAAUGAUGGUGGAGGCUUGUAAUUUGUAUCUUGAUAUUGGUCUUAAUAAAAAAUAAUGGUGUAAAAGACAUUUUCUUCUUGGGCAAAUGAAAAUAAAAACUUAUUCAAAUUUUGCACCAAUCUGUGGGUUGUUGUUUUUUAUUUCAGUUGAAUAUCCUAAAGCAUUUUCUUCUCUUUGUUAAAAGAUCAGUAACAUUUUGAGUCUAUUAGUUUGAGAAAUAGUACUGUGUUUUAAUUUGCCAUUAUCAUUUUGUAUGCUGUAUGUAAAAAUUGUGUUCAACAGGAAAUUACAAUUAAA